GUGCCAGCAGCCGCGGUAAUACCGGCAGCCCGAGUGAUGGCCGAUCUUAUUGGGCCUAAAGCGUCCGUAGCUGGCCGAACAAGUCCGUCGGGAAAUCCACGGGCUUAACAAGUGGGCGACCGUCGGAAACUGUUCGGCUUGGGGCCGGAGGACCCGAGGGGUACGUCCGGGGUAGGAGUGAAAUCCUGUAAUCCGGGACGGACCGCCGGUGGCGAAAGCGCCUCGGGAAGACGGACCCGACAGUGAGGGACGAAAGCUGGGAUCUCCAACCGGAUUAGAAACCCGAGUAGUCC
rnacentral:rRNA from 1 species